rnacentral:lncRNA from 1 species
UUGGGAUUUGGGGUCACAUUUGAGGUCACAUUUGAGGUCAGAUCUGGGAUUUGGGGUCAGAUUUGGGGUCACAUUUGGGGACAGAUCUGGGAUUUGGGGUCGGAUUUGGGGUCACAUUUGGGGACAUUUGGGGACAGAUCUGGGAUUUGGGGUCAAAUUUGGGGUCACAUUUGGGGACAGAUCUGGAAUUUGGGGUUGGAUUUGGGGUCACAUUUGGGGACAGAUCUGGGAUUUAGGUUGACAUUUGGGGUCACAUUUGGGGACAGAUCUGGGAUUUGGGGUCACAUUUGGGGUCACAUUUAGGGUCACAUUUGGGGA